rnacentral:rRNA from 1 species
GACGAACGCUGGCGGCGUGCUUAACACAUGCAAGUCGAACGGAAAGGCCCUGCUUUUGUGGGGUGCUCGAGUGGCGAACGGGUGAGUAACACGUGAGUAACCUGCCCUUGACUUUGGGAUAACUUCAGGAAACUGGGGCUAAUACCGGAUAGGAGCUCCUGCUGCAUGGUGGGGGUUGGAAAGUUUCGGCGGUUGGGGAUGGACUCGCGGCUUAUCAGCUUGUUGGUGGGGUAGUGGCUUACCAAGGCUUUGACGGGUAGCCGGCCUGAGAGGGUGACCGGCCACAUUGGGACUGAGAUACGGCCCAGACUCCUACGGGAGGCAGCAGUGGGGAAUAUUGUACAAUGGGCGGAAGCCUGAUGCAGCAACGCCGCGUGCAGGAUGACGGCCUUCGGGUUGUAAACCGCUUUCGCCUGUGACGAAGCGUGAGUGACGGUAAUGGGUAAAGAAGCACCGGCUAACUACGUG